rnacentral:rRNA from 1 species
GAUGAACGCUAGCUACAGGCUUAACACAUGCAAGUCGAGGGGAAACGGCAUUGAGUGCUUGCACUCUUUGGACGUCGACCGGCGCACGGGUGAGUAACGCGUAUCCAACCUUCCCAUUACUGUGGGAUAACCUGCCGAAAGUCAGACUAAUACCGCAUAGUCUUCGAUGACGGCAUCAGAUUUGAAGUAAAGAUUUAUCGGUAAUGGAUGGGGAUGCGUCUGAUUAGCUUGUUGGCGGGGUAACGGCCCACCAAGGCUACGAUCAGUAGGGGUUCUGAGAGUAAGGUACCCCACAAUGGAACUGAGACACGGUCCAAACUCCUACGGGAGGGAGGAGUGAGGAAUAUUGGUCGAGGGACGGAAGUCUAAACCAGCCAAGUAGGGUGCAGGAGGACGGGCCUAGGGGUUGUAAACUGCUUUUGUAUGAGGAUAAAGUUAGGAACGUGUCCCUAUUUGCAGGUACCAUACGAAUAAGGACCGGCUAAUUCCGUG